ACAUGGGUUAGUCGAUCCUAAGA
rnacentral:snRNA from 1 species